GACGAACGCUGGCGGCGUGCCUAAUACAUGCAAGUCGAGCGGGCCAAUGGGAGCUUGCUCCCGUUAGUUAGCGGCGGACGGGUGAGUAACACGUGGGCAACCUACCUGUAAGACUGGGAUAACUUCGGGAAACCGGAGCUAAUACCGGAUGACAUAAAGGAACUCCUGUUCCUUUAUUGAAAGAUGGCCUCGGCUAUCACUUACAGAUGGGCCCGCGGCGCAUUAGCUAGUUGGUGAGGUAACGGCUCACCAAGGCGACGAUGCGUAGCCGACGUGGGAGGGUGAUCGGCCACACUGGGACUGAGACACGGCCCAGACUCCUACGGGAGGCAGCAGUAGGGAAUCUUCCGCAAUGGACGAAAGUCUGACGGAGCAACGCCGCGUGAGCGAUGAAGGCCUUCGGGUCGUAAAGCUCUGUUGUUAGGGAAGAAUAAGUGCUAGUUGAAUAAGCUGGCACCUUGACGGUACCUAACCAGAAAGCCACGGCUAACUACGUGCCAGCCGCCGCCGUAAAAC
rnacentral:rRNA from 1 species